AUACCGGCAGCUCGAGUGAUGACCGAUUUUAUUGGGCCUAAAGCGUCCGUAGCUGGCCGUGUAGGUUCGUCGGGAAAUCCACCUGCUCAACAGGUGGGCGUCCGGCGAAAACCACAUGGCUUGGGACCGGAAGGCUCGAGGGGUACGUCCGGGGUAGGAGUGAAAUCCCGUAAUCCUGGACGGACCGCCGAUGGCGAAAGCACCUCGAGAAGACGGAUCCGACAGUGAGGGACGAAAGCUGGGGUCUCGAACCGGAUUAGAUACCCGGGUAGUCCCAGCCGUAAACAAUGCCUGUUAGGUGUGGCACCGACUACGAGUCGGUGCUGUGCCGUAGGGAAGCCGAUAAACAGGCCGCCUGGGAAGUACGUCCGCAAGGAUGAA
rnacentral:rRNA from 2 species